GAUGAACGCUGGCGGCGUGCCUAAUACAUGCAGGUCGAGCGAACAGACGAGGAGCUUGCCCCUCUGACGUUAGCGGCGGACGGGUGAGUAACACGUGGAUAACCUACCUAUAAGACUGGGAUAACUUCGGGAAACCGGAGCUAAUACCGGAUAAUAUAUUGAACCGCAUGGUUCAAUAGUGAAAGACGGUUUUGCUGUCACUUAUAGAUGGAUCCGCGCCGCAUUAGCUAGUUGGUAAGGUAACGGCUUACCAAGGCAACGAUGCGUAGCCGACCUGAGAGGGUGAUCGGCCACACUGGAACUGAGACACGGUCCAGACUCCUACGAGAGGCAGCAGUAGGGAAUCUUCCGCAAUGGGCGAAAGCUUGACGGAGCAACGCCGCGUGAGUGAUGAAGGUCUUCGGAUCGUAAAACUCUGUUAUUAGGGAAGAACAAAUGUGUAAGUAACUAUGCACGUCUUGACGGUACCUAAUCAGAAAGCCACGGCUAACUACGUG
rnacentral:rRNA from 1 species